rnacentral:tRNA from 1 species
GCCAGUGUGUUGUAGUGGUUUCUGCACUGGACUAUGACUCUGGAGACGAGGGUUCAAUUCCCUGCUUGGCCA